AAUUUAAGAUAGGGGACAUUGUUCUCA
rnacentral:sRNA from 1 species